GGGUGUGACGCCGCUUCCUCCUCCUCCCUGAAGCGGUGUCGACAGUGCCGAAGGGUCUCUCUCCUCCUCCCUGAGACCUGACGGCAGAAAAGAGACGGCGGCGCCCCUCCUCCUCCCUGGGCGCCGUCGUUUUCU
rnacentral:sRNA from 1 species